UACAGAGGUGGCAAGCGUUGUUCGGAAUUACUGGGCGUAAAGGGUGCGUAGGCGGCGGGGCAAGUCUGAUGUGAAAUCCCGGGGCUCAACCCCGGAACUGCAUUGGAUACUGCCUUGCUUGAGUACUGGAGAGGGAACUGGAAUUUACGGUGUAGCAGUGAAAUGCGCAGAUAUCGGGAGGAACACCAAUGGCGAAGGCAGCUUGCUGGGACGGUACUGACGCUGAGGCGCGAAAGCGUGGGGAGCAAACAGG
rnacentral:rRNA from 1 species